GAUGAAGAACGCAGCGAAAUGCGAUAAGUAAUGUGAAUUGCAGAAUUCAGUGAAUCAUCGAAUCUUUGAACGCACAUUGCGCCCCUUGGUAUUCCGAGGGGCAUGCCUGUUCGAGCGUCAUAUUAACCACUCCCGCUUGCGGGGUCUUGGGCUUCGCCUCCGGGCGGGCCUUAAAAUCAGUGGCGGUGCCGUCGGGCUCUACGCGUAGUAGAUUUUCUCGCGAUAGGGUCCCGGUGGAUGCUUGCCAACAACCCCCAACUUCUUAAGGUUGACCUCGGAUCAGGUAGGGAUACCCGCUGAACUUAAGCAUAUCAAUAAGCGGAGGA
rnacentral:misc_RNA from 1 species